rnacentral:rRNA from 1 species
GCAGCCGCCACGGGAAUACGAAGGGGGCUAGCGUUGUUCGGAAUUACUGGGCGUAAAGCGCACGUAGGCGGAUAUUUAAGUCAGGGGUGAAAUCCCAGAGCUCAACUCUGGAACUGCCUUUGAUACUGGGUAUCUUGAGUAUGGAAGAGGUGAGUGGAAUUCCGAGUGUAGAGGUGAAAUUCGUAGAUAUUCGGAGGAACACCAGUGGCGAAGGCGGCUCACUGGUCCAUUACUGACGCUGAGGUGCGAAAGCGUGGGGAGCAAACAGGAUUAGAUACCCCAGUAGUCCCUGUCUCUUAUAC